AAGACCUUGCGCUUUUGGAGCGGCCGAUGCCUGAUUAGCUUGUUGGUGAGGUAAAGGCUUACCAAGGCUUCGAUCAGUAGCUGGUCUGAGAGGACGGCCAGCCACACUGGGACUGAGACACGGCCCAGACUCCUACGGGAGGCAGCAGUGGGGAAUUUUGGACAAUGGGGGCAACCCUGAUCCAGCCAUGCCGCGUGAGUGAAGAAGGCCUUCGGGUUGUAAAGCUCUUUCAGCCGGAACGAAACGGUUACGAUUAAUACCCGUAACUACUGACGGUACCGGAAGAAGAAGCACCGGCUAACUACGUGCCAGUAGCCGCGGUAAUACGUAGGGUGCGAGCGUUAAUCGGAAUUACUGGGCGUAAAGCGUGCGCAGGUGGUUUUGUAAGUCAGAUGUGAAAUCCCCGGGCUUAAUCUGGGAACU
rnacentral:rRNA from 1 species